AUGACUCUUCUAACACUUGGACUCUACCUGCCACUCUGGUUCUCCUGCUGCCUGGCUCAGUCCUCGUUUCUGGACAGCUUCCUUCCAUUCCCAGCAGCUCUCAUAUCCCAGAAGCAGCAGAAGAGAUUCAGCCCAUGCUGUUUACUGAGUCCACCUCCACCCCCGCUGUUUCCUCCACCCCCUGCACUUUGGCGCCGCCACACACCCACUGAAGGCACUCAUGAGUCUGAUUUGGACCAUGAGGAUAAAGGUUCUGGCUGUGUCCGAGGCCCUCCUGGGCCCACUGGACCUCUUGGGCCCCAGGUAAGGCUGCAUGCUCCUUUCAAACAUCCCUUCACUAAAACCAAGCCCCAGACAGCAAGAUCGAAUAUUAACAUGGCAUGAUCACAAACUGUGUCAUGUUAGGUUUGGAGGUGUAAAGAAUUAGUCC
rnacentral:lncRNA from 1 species